rnacentral:lncRNA from 1 species
AUGAAACCUUCACUCUAACGGCUUCGACAUCAUCAAAACCAAACCAAAUCUUCCCAAUCGAGAAGUAAUUCAUCACAUAAGUUGAAUUGUACAUAACUUGAACGUUAGGACCAUAGUGCUUGAUGCGAUUCUUGAUUUCCUUAUAAGUCACAAGGCCGCUAGAAUACAAAGCUGGUCCUGUUGCUGCUGCACCAAUACCGUUGUCCUCAGGUUUCACAAGCGUCCAUGCAUAGCCAUAGAAAGGUAAACAUAAAACCAAUUUAUCAGCCGAUAACCCUUCCUCAAUCCAUUCCGUGAUUCCGUAUUCAGUAUUGGAGAUACUAUUUGGAUCAUACAGAGCCGCGUGAGCACCAGUAAAAUUUGACCACAUAGGUUUUGUGUAUUCAGUAGUCAAAACAUGAACCCAAUUCAAGUAUUGACUUAUCGAGUCGACUGGGUAAGCUCCUGCUCUUGAGAAUGGUGAAUAUGCGACCAUUGCCGUCAAAAUCAACUGUGAUUGGCUCGAGUUAUUUCUUGCUUCUAAAUCUACGGCUGCUCGCCACUCUUUAAAGAGAAUGCCAAUAUUGUACUUAUCCCAGCUUGUGUUUGCCUGAGGCCAAGAGAGAUCUAAGCCUUGAAAGCCAUAAAGUCUUCCUAUUUUUAUUGAGGAGUCAAUGAAGGAUUUCCUAGAAGAAGGAUUGCUCGCCAUGGAAGAAUAAGUUGAAUAGUUUGCAUCAUUUCCUCCGAUGGAAAGAAGUGUAGUGAUUGAUGGGUUCUUUAUUUUGACAGUGUCAGUGAAGUUAGAGAAUUGUUUUUCAUCAGAAGGUGAUAAAGAAAGCUCAUAGGAAGUUGAAUUCGUUGAAACAAAAACAAACGUUAUGCCUUUGAUCGUGCAUUUCCAAAUAAACACAUAUUUUAGGUAAUUCCGAAAUUUACCACGAUCUCCCAUGAAUCCGAACUUGCAGCUUGUUAUGGAGCUUCAACAGAGUUGCUGCUGCUUCGGUCUAGCUUCUGAAUUCCGCUUUCUUUUCCUUCAGCUCCAGAUUCGGCUUUUCUCAGUAAGUUACUGUACACACACGGGAGAGAAACGGGAGAGAGAGAGAUGCACUGCACUCAUGCCAGAGAUUUCUUGAACAGUCAACUUCCAAUGGGCUGAAGUUACUUAAAUACAGUGGUUGAGCGCAGGGAACCCUCAUGUGUUAGUACAAAAUUACCCAUCCCAUUAUGGGCUUAAAUAACACAAUUAAGGAUAUACUUGUCCAUAAUAUACUACUGUACAGGGUAUGUCAAAAUUAGACUCAUUAACACCAUAUUUGAUCACUUAAUAAAUGAGUCUGUCAAAAUUGCUCAACAAUAUUUGACUUUAGUCACGUAUUAAUUCGGUAAAAUAUAGAAAAUAAUUAGAAUGAUUUAUGUCAGUCCACAUAAUGUGAGAAAUAAAUCUAACAGAAUUGACAUUAGCAAAACCACAUAUAAGGUGAGUGAAAAGAGCAGAAUUUACAUCUGAAACGGGGAACCCGUUGCCUGAAUCCCAGUAACCAGCUCUGAUUAAAGUUUGUGUUCCUGCAGGAAGCGAUUCUGAAAAUAUAAAAAUGUGGAGGACAAGAAUGAUAAUUUUGGAUGCCAUUGUGGGAACCUAGCUGCUUUGAGGCAUACCUAGUAAGUGAUUACAUAUAUAUGUACACACACAAUGUAAUGGAGAAAAUAUCCGAUAGCGAUUGAGAUUAGUUAUUGGACUAUAAUACAAACCUGAGGCAACUUUCAGCUCAUGAGCUUAUCUCAUAGGUCUUUAUACGAUAUCAAAGUCAAGUUACGAACGAGUGAUUCUAUACUACCUUUUAAUUUAACAAGGAGAAAGAUAAGAGAUCAACCUACACGUGACAGGGUGAUAGAAAAAAUUUAUCACAUUAGCUAAGAUUAAUUACUAUGUUAAUGAUAUAAGCUCAAAACAACACUCAACUCAAUAACAAGUUGUAAUUUAAUAAAGUUAGGUCAACUCGAUAUUUUAUAGAGUAUGUCGUGAGUGAGGAGGAGUUUAAGCAACAAAUCGAGCUCAUGAGUGAGGACACGUUUGAUUUUCACAAGAUUUUGCGUUUUGUGCACGUUGGUCAUGGACUGAAUCAACUUAGAAAAUAUUUUCACAAGAUUUUGCCUUCCAAUUGCAUGGAUGGAGUUAUAGAGGAAUACAUCGAAAAGUUCGUCUUCUUGCCAUGAUGAUAAGUGAAAAGAUUGAGGUUCUUAAAUUAAGCUAUGACCUUUUACCUCCACUUAGCUUGACUUUUGAAGCUGAAGACUCGUUCUUUUGUAUUGACUUUGUUGGUAUUUAAAUGACCUCGGAGUCUUGGACGUGUUUCUGAAGCAAUGUCAUGGUCUAUGAGUAGAUUUUUUUUUUUGGGUAAGAAAGGGAAAGUCUGUCGUUGGGAAAACAUCCUGACAACGGGAUGGUGGGAGGGAAAAAAAAAAAAAAAUUAUACACUUAGGGUCUGUUUGGAAAAAUGAUUAUAGGGUAUUAUAAUACUAUUCAUAUUGACUUAAUAUCAAUACUAUUCACAUCGAGUUUAGCUUAAUGUGGUAGUUGCCGCAUUAACGUUUUGCUUUUGUUUUUUUUUUUUUACUUUUGCUUUUUAAUAAUAAUAAAUAAUUAUAACUUUUUAAUUUAAUAUAUUAUUAUAUAAUAUCAAUUAUUAUUUUUUAUUUUUACCUCAAAAUUAUUAAAAUAAAUUAAUAAUUUUAUAAUUUAUUAUUCAUAUUUUAAUUUUUAUUAUAUUAAAAAUAUAACUAAAUAAUGUAUUAUUUAAUUAUAUAAUAAUUAAUAUAUAAAAUUAAUUAAUAUUUAAUAAGUUAAUAUAACUAACAAUAAGUACUUAAAUAAUAUAUAAAAAUUGAUUAUUAUUUAGAAAUUUAAUAUAACUAACAAUAAAUAUUUAUAUAUGAAUAAAUUUAAAUAAUAUUAAUUUAAAAUUAAUAUCAACAAAAAUAAUAACGUAAAAUAUCAUUAUGUUAUGAUAUUAUUUAGAGAUUAUUUGAUUAAAUUAUUUACUUCGAUCUUUAUUUCACAUGUUAUAUAUUUAGAAAAUACUGAAAAAUAAAUGUUAUGCUGCCGAAAAUAUAAGGCUAUAAGUUUCGAUCUUUACAAAAAAUUGUGAUGCUUUUUAACAUUUAUACUAAAAAAUAAUGUUAAAUUUCUAAAAUUUAAGACUUAUAUAUUUAGUAGUUUUCUAGGUACUAUAAAUAUUAUUUCCUAAAUAUAUAAUUUAAGUUAAUCACAAAAAAUUAAUACAAUAUAGUGUAGCAUCAAACGUUGUAUAACAUUAUUAUAAUAUAGUGCUAAUACAAUACAGCAUAAUGCAAUACACAUCCAUUAAAAUAAUAUAACAUAGUGUGCUAAACUCACCAUUAAUUACUUCCUAAUGUUAAAAUUCAGUAGUAUUGUAAUUUUAAUAAAAAAUUGAGACCCUUUUAUCAUUUAGAUGUAAUAUACUUACAUUGUUCCCACAACUUGUUUUGUAUUCGCUUCGAGACUCUUUUGCAAAAAUCCUAACCAUACCAAAAUCUGAAAUUUUAGGUUUCAUAUCUUGACCUAACAAAAUAUUACUAGCUUUCAAAUCUCGAUGGAUAAUAGUCAGUCUUGAGUAUUCUUUGAGGUAUAAAAACCUUUGAGUCAUCCCUUCAAUGAUAUGAACACGUUUUUUCCAAUCCAAAAUAAACCUUCUGAUGGGAUCUACAACAGAUAUAUAGUUUUAGACAAUAAGUGAUAUGCAAAUGAAUUAUAUACACAAUUAAUAUUAACUUGAUUUCAGAACAAACCAAAAAGGUAGCAAUCCAAGCUUUGUUUGGCAUGUACUCGUAGACUAGCAUUCGUUCCUCACUGUCAAUGCAAAAACCUAAAACUCUAAUAAGAUUUACAUGUUGGAGUUUUGCAGUAAGUAUAAUCUCAUUCUUAAACUCCUCAAAUCCCUGUGUGGAUGCUUUCGAAAGUUUCUUCAUUGCUAUCACCUCUCCGCAGGGUAGUAUACCCUGCAACCAAAAAACAAAUGUUCAUAUAAAGCUUGCACUAAUUAAAUAAGUUGAGAAAUGUUUGCCAAACAAUAUGUUUCCCUCCAAAGUUGAGGGCACCAUUUUAAGUCCUUUAAGUCCCCAUAGACGCAUGAAUCUCCUCUCAGAAAAUAUGGAUAUGGGUAGACAUAUCUUCCUAAAUAUUAGUAGAAGUAGUUAUAUCUCUCUAGUGCGAGGUCAGAGGUCUCAUGUCUAAUAGGUAUAGAUUUUUAAAUUAUAUGUUUUGGGCCUCUGAAUUUUACUCUAAGUGUAUGAAUUCAAAGUUCCGACAGAAUCCAAAUUGUAACAUUUGUGGAUUUUGUGUGUGUGUGUGUGUUAACUUGUAAACAGGACCAUAUCCACCUUCCCCUAGCUUAUUUCUAACUGAAAAUCCCUCGGUGGCCGCCUCAAUAUCAGCCAAACUAUAUACUCUGAGGUUAGGAACAUUUCUGUUAAAGUCUCCAGCUUCUGCUUCAUCAUUUGCUCUCGUGUUUGACGCUUUAGCAGAGUCCUCUGUUCCUAACAUCAACCAAGAGUAAAUAUUAGAUAAUUAAUUAAAUUUCAGUCUCAGUUACAUGUAUAUGAGUGAAAUACAUACUUAAUUAUAAUUAAUAACUGAAACUUGUUACCUUCAAUUAAGUUGAGCCUUUUCAUCCUGUUGUAUUUAUAUGCACAAAAGCCUAGAAGGAGAGUCAAAGCUGCCGCAGCAGUCGAAAUGAGGACCAAGGACAGACGCCGGUUAUUACUAUGUUCAUCUUUGUCAGCUGAAGCAGAAGUAAUCCUGUCUUUUUGUGCUGGAAAUAUGUAUAGUUCACCAAUUAAUAAUAACUAGCUAGAGAUGCCAUAACAAUCAUUAUUAAUCAGAGAGAACAAUUAUUGCAUAGAUAAAUACCUGCAGCUUGAGAAAGCACCCAAUUAUGAUCAUCAUAAUCCACUCGCCACACAUAGUAACCAAGCAAUCUCUUCUCUUUGGCAUAGGCGAUCUUAGCUCUAACAGCCUCCACAUCAUCAAAACCAAACCAAACCGCCCCAGUGGAGAAGUAAUUCACCACAUAAGUUGAAUUGUACAUAACUUGAACAUUAGGAGCAUAGUUCUUGAUGUGAUUCUUGAUAGUCCUAUAGGUCACAAGGCCAUCAUUAGUCAAAGCUGGUCCUGCUGCUGCUGCUCCAAUACCAUUGUCUUCAGGUUUCACAAGCCUCCAUGCAUAGCCAUAGAAAGGCAAAGACAUAGCCAACUUAUCAGCCGAUAGCCCUCUCUCAAUCCAUGCCUUUAAAACCUGAUCGGUACUUUUAGCAAAGCCGCCGCUACUUGAGCCAUGGAGAGCCGCAGGUGGCGCAGUGAAGUUUGUUGACAAAGGCUCGUAGUAGUGUUCAGUAGCAACAUGAACCCAAUUCAAGUUUCGUUGCAUCGAAUUCACAAGGUACGAAUUGUCUGGUGGUGAAUAAUGAAACCUUGCGGUCAGGAUCAGCUGGGAUUGCUGGCGGUUAGAGCUUUUUGCCUCUAAUUUUGUGGCAGCAGCUCGCCACUCGUCGAAAAGUAAACCAAUAUUGAGCAUAUCGGUGCUUGUGUUAGGAGAUGUCCAAGCAAAGUCUAGGCCCUUAAAGCCAUAAAGCCUAGCUAUUCUUAUUGAAGAGUCGAUGAAAGAUUUCCUGUGAGAAGAAUUUCUCACCAUUGAAGAAUAUAUAGAAUAGUUUGUAUUUCUUCCUUGUCCAAUGGAGAGAAGUGCAGUGAUUGAUGGGUUCUUUUGUUUCAUUUGUUUCACAGUGCCUGUAAAUUUGGGGAAUAUUUGAUUUCCAUCAAAUGGUGAUGAUAAAGAUAGCUGGUAUGUGGUGGAAUUGAUAUCAGCAGAAGAGCAAAUAAGGUGAGUGAAGAGAUCAUAAUUUAUGCCCGAAAUGGCGGAAACAUCGCCUGAAUACAAGUAACCGACCCUGAUCCACGGUUUUGCUUUCGCGGGAUGAAAUUCUGAAUAGAAAAACAUGUGGAAGAUGAUGCUGAUAAUUAUGGAUGCCAUUUGAGAGGCUUAAGCUUCUUAAUUAUUACCACUUCGAAGGGAAUGGAAAUGAAUGCACACUAAGAGAAAUUAAAUAAACACAAGUUUCACAGUUCAUUAAGUUCUUAUGUGUACUAUUAACGUAUAGGUUCAUUUCGUUGCCCAAAAAAAAUCUUAUGUACUCCUGAUAGGGACACACACAUUGCAUGUUAAGAUGAUGAUAGGCGAUGCGACCAUUGCCUAAGAACUAAGAUUUUCUUCUAUCGCCUGGGUGACUUUUCAUGAAGAAAAAUAAUGUUUUGAUUGACAUUUGGUUAAACUGAUGACAUAUUUCGGGCUACAAAUAUCAGUAUUGUUUUAUUAAAUAAUAAAAAUAAUAAUUUUACGUGCAUGUUGAAGGUUAUAUUGCAGUCUUUUGAGCCUGUGUUGAAUUUCAUUCGUGUGCGUUCAUUUAUUAUCCAUCCCCUUUUUUCUCUGAGUCUGCUAGCCGUAGUCAUCUUAAAAGGAUAACAUGUUUAAUGCGUGUAAAUGCACCUCAUAAGUAGUUAAGAAAGAUUUGACCAAACCAGAUAAUUUUCCUCUUAACACAGAAGUAGUUAUCGGACUAAUUAAGAUUCUAAUCCAUUUAAGAAAUAUUCAAAAAGGGUUAUUGUCACUACUUUAGUCCUUGUUGUUUUAUUAAAGAAAAAAAAAAGAUAUUUAAAGAAGCAUCACAUAAAUCCUUCCUAAUUACAUUUUGUUUCAUUCAAGUUCUUGACUUAAUUUGACUGCUUGGAAAAAUUAGUAAAAAGGUAAAAAUGAAAAAAAAAAUGUAAAUUCCAGUUAUUAGACUAAAUAUAUAUAAAUUUGCAACAAGUAGCAAAAGUUUAGAAUAUGAAAAACCCUAUUUUGUUUACGAAAUAAAGGAAAUUCGAAUCAUUUUCAAAAAAAAAAUCUCUAAAAGUUUGAAAACUAAGAUUUUAAGGUCCUUCUAGACUAACCAUAAAUAACAUGAAUUUACCAAAUUAAGCAAACUCGAAUUAUUAUUACACAAUAAAAUUUUACUAAUGGAAAUAAGAAAACAAAAUAAAUAACACUCAAAUUCGAUGUCUAAAAAACAAAGAUAAAAAUCAUGAGAGCAAUAGAAAAAAAAUAAAAUAAACUAAAACUUGCAAAAUGACCAUGAAAGAAAUAAAUUUUUUUGCUGAACCAAGGGGCCGAUACAUAUAGCCUUAUUGUACUAGAUUCAUCUCACUGCAAGUUUCAAAACAAUAUAUUAUAUGUCUUAAACAAACUCUUGUAAAUUAAGUUAUGACCUUAAAAAAUAUCCUACUCAUCUUACAUAAAUAUCCUAUGUCACUAUAUAGCUAUACAAUAAUAAUAUAAUCCAAACACUUAUGGAGCAUAACUCACGCACCUCCAUUAAUAACCGUGAAAUUUACUCACAUUUUAUAAGAGAGAGGAAUGUUCUCAUUUAUUGGGGAUUAAACCAAAUAGUCUAUCUUCGAUAUUUCUGCUAGGUUGUGUCAGGUUGGGCUUUUUAGAAUUUCUUUGACGAAAAGUCAUUCUCUUCAACAGCCAAAUCUUGGGCCAGUGGGCAAUUAUGAAAGUCCAUUGGAUGCAUUGGACCAAACUAAACGUACAAUUUUUUUUUUCUUACAAAAAAAAAAUUAGAGUUGGACUAUUGACACCCCUCUCAUCUCCUCAUAAAACCCCCUUUUUAGUUAUAUUUAUUUUAUUUUAGAAAAUGCCCUUUUUUAGAUACACGUUUCUAAGUUUUUAAUUUUCAUUUGAUUUGUUUUAUUGUUAAAACUCAAAGUAUUAUUGUGUUAUUUUUUAAUUAUUUUCAAUUUUAUUAUUAAUCUACAUACAAAUUAAAAAUUUAUAUGGGUGAUAAGUUUUUUAGUGUUAAUCAUUGGUUGAAAUAACACAUAUUUCAAAUUAUAAUUUCAAAGCAAUUUUAAGUAUAAAAAUAUUUAAUCAAUAAGAAAUCAAAAGAGAAUAAUAGAUUAUUCUAAAUUUGUACAAUUUAUUUUAGUUAAAUAGGAAGUAAAAUAUAAAUUUUUUUAAAAAAUGAUUGAUUAUGAAUUAAGUAAUUUGCUGGGAAAAAAAAUCUAUAUAUGUUUAAUUUUCAAUUGUCUUUAAUUGUAAUUUUAUUUAAAGUGGUGUUUUGUAAGAAUAAUGUAGGGGUGCCAAUAGCUCCACUCAAAAAAUUAUAUCUAUAUAUUCUCUUCAACAACCUAAAACUGGGCCAAUGGGCAAUUAUGAAGUCCAUUGGAUGUAUUGCACCAAACUAAAAGUCCAAUUUUUUUUAUUACUACAAUAUAUAUAUAUAUAUAUAGUAGUUUUCUAAUUAGGGAUUCCUGACUUUAAUAAAGUCAUGGAUCAGCUAAAAGACAAAUAUACAGUGCAUUGGAGUCUGUGUUUAUUUUGUCUUUUAGCUAAUUCCUGAUUUUAUUAAAGUCAGGGAUCCCUGAUUGGAAAACUACUAUAUAUAUAUAUAAACAAAUGUUUUAAUUUAGAAUUUUAAAGUGCGGGAUAGUAUAUAUAUAUAUAUAUAUAAACAAAUGUUUUAAUUUAGAAUUUUAAAGUGCGGGAUAGUCUGGAAUAUGCAGUUUUAAAAACUUAAAACUGUAAGCCUUUAAAACCAUACAAUUUUAAAUUUUUCUCAAAUUUUCUCGUACUUUAAAAUUUCAUACUAAAAAACUACUACAUAUAUCAAUAAAUGAAAUGACACAAUACAGUUGGCUUGCCGUUGCAAAGCCUCUUUGUUUGUUAUUAUUUAUUGGCUUAUUGCAAUAAAGACUAAAGAGAGCUUUGAGCCAUGCAGCAUGGGAAGCUACAUUAAAAAAUAAAAGAAUUUAAAGCUUCAAGGGCAUAAAGCGUGCCCACCCAAUUAAAUUUUUCUUUAAAAAAGAAAAAAAAAGGCUGCAAUUGCAAUGACUUGAAUUUAUCAUCAAUUCUGGCUUAAUUUGCCCCCGUCAUUUUUUCAAGGAGAAUGUCCAACUCAAUUGUGACGGCUACUGCUUCAAUUUUAAUUUUAUUUUUCUCAAGAAUAGUCAUUUUCAUCCACCAUAUUCCUGCAUCCUGAUGCGUCCUUAUUGCUUAUAUUAUUAUAGACCACUUUUGGAAGCAUAACAAAUUUUGCACACAUGGUAUCCAUCUUGCGGACCCAAAUGUUGAUGAUAUACUUGCAUGCUGCAAAAUAAGCCCUUUUAAUAACUUAUCAUCUGGUAAAUGAUAGUUUAUUUAUUUAUUACAUAACAAAUAUGUUAUGCCAUAUGCCACCUAUUAGUGAAAGAUGUUUAAAUAACUACUCUUGUAGUAAACUCCUGAAUGAUGGCAAGUUAGAUUUAUACUUAAUGCACUAACUUCGAUAUUAUUUUUUUUUUACAUGGUAAUUAUUUUCUUCUCGCUAGGAAGUUGCAAUGAUUGAUAAUAAGGGAGCAUUUUGCUUUAUAUACAAUCCUUAAUAGAAGAUUUUCUAGAGAUGUUUAUUAUUAUUAUUAUUAUUAUUAAUCCCGCGUUGGUCAGGAUUUGAUUACUAUAAUAUUGACGAUUCGAUUUCUAACAAUUUUGUUUAUUAUAAAAUUAAAACAAAUGAGUAGUCAUCUAGAAAAUCAUAAUCUCUUUAAAGGCAUCAAAAGGCAAUGGCAAUGUAAAGUGAAUGUGCAUGAAUCUAUUAGUAACAUGUUUGCACGUGUAUUAAUCUUAAAAUAGUCAGUCUUGAAUAUUCCUGGAGGUAUAAAAGCCCUUGAGUUAUCCCUUCAAUGAUAUGAACACGUUUUUUCCAAUCCAAAAUAAGUCUUCUGAUGGGAUCUACAACAAAUAUAUAGUUUUGGACAAUAAGUGAUAUGCAAAUGAAUUUUAUACACAAUUAAUAUUAACUUGAUUUCAGAACAAACCAAAAAGGUAGCAAUCCAAGCUUUUGUUUGGCAUGUAUUCGUAGACCAGCAUCCGUUCCUCACUGUCAAUGCAAAAACCUAAAACUCUAAUAAGAUUUACAUGUUGGAGUUUUGCAGUAAGAAUAACCUCAUUCUUAAACUCCUCAAAUCCCUGUGCGGAUGAUUUCGAAAGUUUCUUCACUGCUAUCACCACUCCACAGGGUAAUACACCCUGCAACCCAAAAAAAAAACCACGUUCAUAUAAAGCUUUCACUAAUUAGAGACGCUGAGAAAUGUUAGCCAAACAAUAUGCUACCCCCCAAAGUUGAGGGCACCAUUUUAAGUCCUUUAAGUCCCCAUGGACGCAAAAUGUAAAUCUCCUCUCACAGAAUAUGGAUAUGGGUAGAGGUAUCUUCCUCAAAUGUUAGUCGAAGUAGUUAUAUCCCUCUAGUGUGAGGUUAGAGGUCUCAUCUCUAAUAGGCAUAGAGUUUUAAAUUAUAUGUUUUGGGCCUCUGAAUUCUACGACGAGUGUACAAAUUCAAACUUCCGAUAGGAUCCAAAUUGCAACAUUGUGGAUUGUAACAAAUUAAAAUAUAGGUACACACACACACACAUGUUACCUUGUAAACAGGACCAUAUCCACCCUCCCCAAGGUUAUUUCUAAUUGAAAAUCCCUCGGUGGCCGCCUCAAUAUCAGCCAAACUAUAUACUCUGAGAUUAGGAACAUUUCUGUUAAAGUCUCCAGCUUCUGUUUCAUUAUUUUCUCUCGUGUUUGAUGCUUUAGCAGAAUCCUCUGUUCCUAACAUCAACCAAGAGUAAAUAUUAGAUAAUUAAUUGUAUGUCAGCCUAAGUUUUAUAUAUAUAUGAAAUGCAUGCUUAAUUAUAAUUGGUAGCUGAAGCUUGUUACCUUCUAUUAACUUGAGCCUUUUCAUCUGGUUGUAUUUAUAUGCACAACAACUUAGAAGGAGAGUCAAAGCUGCCGCUGCAGUCGAAAUGAGUACCAAGGACAGAUGGCGGUUAUUACUAUGUUCAUCUUUGUCAGCUGAAGCAGAAGUAAUGCUGUCUUUUUGUGCAGGAAAUAUGUAUAGUUCACCAAUUAAUAAUAACUAGCUAGAGAUGCCAUAAAAAUCAAUAUUUAUUGGAGAGAACAAUUAUUGCAUAUAUAAAUACCUGCAGCUUGAGAAAGCACCCAAUUAUGAUCAUCACAAUCAACUCGCCACACAUAGUAACCAAGCAAUCUCUUCUCUUUGGCAUAGGCAAUCUUAGUUCUAACAGCCUCCACGUCAUCAAAGCCAAACCAAAUCGUCCGAAUCGAGCAGUAAUUCACCUCAUAAGUUGAAUUGUACAUAACUUGGACAUCAGGACCAUAGUCCUUGAUGUGAUUCUUGAUUUCCUUAUAAGUCGCAAGGCCGCUAUCAUACAAAGCUGGUCCUGUUGCUGCUGCACCAAUACCAUUGUCUUCAGGUUUCACAAGCCUCCAUGCAUAGCCAUAGAAAGGCAAACACAUAACCAACUUAUCUGCCGAUAAUCCUCUCUCAAUCCAUGCCUUUAAAACCUGAUCGGUACAUCUAGCAAAGCCGCCGCUACUUGAGCCAUAGAGAGCCGCAGGUGGCGCCGUGAAGUUUGUUGACAUAGGCUCGCAGUAGCUAGCAGUAACCGCAUGAACCCAAUUCAAGUUUCGUUGUAUCGAAUUCAAAAGAUAUGAAUUCGCUGGUGGUGAAUAACGAAAUCUUGCGGUCAAAAUCAGCGGGGAUUGCUGGCGACUAGAGUUUUUUGCCUCUAAUUUUGUAGCAGCAAUUCGCCACUCGUCAAAAAGUAAACCAAUAUUGAACAUAUCGGUGCUUGUUUUAGGAGCUGUCCAAGAAAAGUCUAGGCCCUGAAAGCCAUAAAGCCUAGCUAUUCUUAUUGAAGAGUCGAUGAAAGAUUUUCUGUGAGAAGGAUUUCUCACCAUUGAAGAAUAAAUAGAAUAGUUUGUAUCCUUUCCUUGUCCAAUGGAGAGAAGUAUAGUGAUUGAUGGGUUCUUUUUUUUCACGGUGUCUGCGAAUUUGGCGAUUUGAUUUUCAUCGGAUGGUAAUGAUAAAGAUAGCUGGUAAGUGGUGGAAUUGAUAUCAGCAGAAGAGCAAAUAAGGUGAGUGAAGAGAUCAUAAUUUAUGCCCGAAAUGGUGGACACGUCGCUUAGAUCCAAGUGACCGACCCUAAUCCACGGUUUUGCUUUCGCGGGAUGAAGUUCUGAAUAGCAACGUGUGGAAGAUGAUGCUGAUAAUUAUGGAUGCCAUUUGAGACUUUGUUAGGAAUGGAAAUGGAUCCGCAGAAGAGAAAUUAGAUAAACACUAGUUUCACAGUUCAUUUAAGUUCUUAUGUAAACUAUUAACGUAGAGGUUCAUUUCGUUCAGAAAAAAAUCUUAUGCGCUCCUGGAUAGGCACAUACAUUGCAUGUUAAGAUGAUGAUAGGCGAUGCGACCAUUGCCUAAGAACUAAGAUUUUCUUCCGUCGCUUGGGUUGGCUGACUUUCCAUGAAGAAAAAUGAUGUUUUGAUUGACAUUUGGUUUAACUGAUGACAAAUUUCAGGCUAUAAAUAUCAGUAUUGUUUUAUUAAAUAAUAAAAUAUAAUAAUUUUACAUGUACGUUGAAAGUUAAUAACUUAAUAUUGCAGUCUUUUGAGACUGUGUUGACGUUUAUUCGGGUGCAUUCGUUUAUUAUAUAUUCCCGUUUUUCUCCCUGUGUGUUUGCUACAGUGCUCUUAAAAGAAUAACAUGUUUUUUUUCGACAAUAAAAGAAUAACAUGUUUAAAGCAUGUAAAUGCACCUCAGAAGUAGUUAAGAAAGACUUGAUAAAAAACCAGACAUUUUCUCUCUACUCAAAAAGUAGUUAAGACUGUAUGAACCAAUUAAAACGUCAGAUUCAUACUAUAACUAUGAUGAUUCAAUAAGACCUUCAAACUAAAUCCACAGAUUCCAUGAGUAAGAAACAAUGGAUCACAUUUUUUUAAGUUUAUGCUUUGAGUAAAAUAAAAGUAGAAACAUGAAUUUGAAAGAAGCAAUUUAGUUAUAAAAAAUUGUCAAGUAAUUAAUUGUUUGGCAUUUAUUUUAUGGGUCCCAACCCAUGUGAUCCGUAAAAUGAGACACCUUAUGUGAUUGGGUGCGCCAUGGUGCGCUAACCUCAUAUAAGCUUCUCUCUUCUUACGGAUAUAACUGUAUAUGGGUGGCAUUAUGUAGUGCCCCACAUGGGCUCUUUAAAAUUAUUUUAUGUGCAUUUUAAACAUUCCCUCGUUAUUGAUUUGAAACACUAAAAAUGCCUCUCUUAAAUUUUAAAAAUAUAUAAAAAAAAUUGCGUGUUUAAAGAAUGCUUGAUGUCUCUAGCCUAACAGUUAGCACACCUAUUGUAUACACUUUUACUUUUUUCUUCUCUAAACUUUCACUCCUCUUUUCUCUGAUUCUUCACACUUCACUGAUCUUUUAUCUCUAAAAAAAUUAAACUGUCUCUAGAAGCUUAUUACUAAUUUUCUGAUCUAAUUAUUUACAUAAGUAUUCUUGAUUGAUUAUCACUUCUUUAAUUUUUUGAGGGGGAUUUCUCUUGGAUGAAAGAAUUAAGGUUAUGUUCUAAGAAAAUUUUAACUCCCAUGUUAUAGUUUUGAUAAUGAGAUUAUCCUUAAAUUUUCAAUAUAUGAAAAUACUUCGAAACAACUAUUAAUUCGUUGAAUGAAACAUCCUAAUGAACUUAGAUUUUGGUACUUAUUAUUUAUUGAACUUUUUCUUUUAAAUUACAUUACUAUUUGAAGUGUGGCGGUAUAUGGUCUCUAGUCCAAAUGACGAAAUCAAAUCACCAUGUGCAUUAGUGUUUUGUUUGUGUGGUUGGAGGGGGGGGGGGGGGGGCGGUGUUUUUUAUUGGUGCAGGAAGAAAGCUCUUCAGGACUACUCGGAAAAAUAUAUAUAUAUAUAUGAGCAACACAUAGUCCAUUUCGCAUUGCAUAGAAGUAAAACCGAAGCAUUACACAAAAAGCACACGUUAUUUAUAUUUUUAGUUAUUGAUAAGAAAAUUUUUUCCCUCUUAUUAUCAUCUUAAUUAAGAAAAAUAGUAAUUCGUUUAACUGUUUGCGAAAAAUGAUGGCAAUAUACAAUAAUAUUGUGUUGAUGACCUUGAAAGCUAAUUCUUUUGAAACAGGAAAACUGGUAUCGUAUUCAAAACACAUAAAAGACGUAUCCAAGCUUUUAAUGUGAUCUAAAGAUCUCAUAGCUACAUUCGAAAUUAAUAAAUGAUCCCUAAGAGUUACGAAACUGAUAUCAAUGAAAUUACAAACUCUUAAGAGUUUAUAGAACAUUAAUUGAUCCAAAUCCAAUACAAACUGCUUACUAGUACAGCCUCAAGAGAGCCAUUUAUUUUUCAGUAGGCAAAUUAAGCAACUGCAGCAGUCACUAGCAGCUUGCCAAGAGCUAGCAUAGAUCAAUUGUUCAUCUUCAUAAGCUUUCUUUGAGAAAGUUUCAAGCUUCUUUGGAGUCAUUAUAUCGGCUGUGUUCUCGUUUUUGAGCAUCGAAUAAACUUCCAGCAUAGAAGGUCUACCGUUUGGGUUCUCCUGAACACAUAACAAAGCUAUUUGCAGACAUGUCAAUAAUUUCCAUGAGGAAUGCGCAUCAUCUAGUGAUGGAUCCAUUAACUUUAUGCCUUUCCCAUCCUUCCACAACUUGUAGGACUGAAAACAUCAAAUAUGUUAUUGAGUUACAUUCAAUUAAAUAGCACUAUAAAGUUUUGACCAAUUGUGCAUUAUAAAGGGGGUUAUACAGAAACUUACAUAGUGUACAAGGCUUAAAUUUUCAUUAUGACCAUAUUAAAUAAAAAAUCUCCUUCCAUUUAUAAUUUGCAAAAGUAAAAUCUCAAAACUGUAGACAUCAUAUUUAGUAGAGUAGAUGCCUCUUCUACAUACCCAGGAGGGAUGUAGCCAUUGUGGUACCGAUUAAUUACAAACGUCAUUGAAAUUGUUUGACCUAAAAGAUUAAGUUGAUUGGUAAAUGUUUAACAAUAGUAUUAAAGAUAAGUCGAAGAAAAUAGACAUAUAUAUACUUACUGUGUUCCAACAAUUCGAUUUGUGUUUGCUUCAAGAUCAUCUUUCACAAAAAUUCUAACGAAGUCAAAAUCUGAUAUUUUUGGUUUCAAAUCUUCAUCCAACAAAAUGUUACUAGCUUUCAAGUCUUAAUGAAUAACUAUUAAUCUAGAAUAUUCUUGAAGAUAGAAAAGCCCUUGAGUAAUUCCUUAAAUGAUAUGAAUGCAUUUUUUCCAAUCCAAAAUAAACCUUCGGAUGGGAUCUACAUCAAAUAUAAGUAUAGUUGGACGGUCUGUAGCAUUAGCAUUUAGAAAUGAGAAAUGCAAAUAAAGGAUUUCGUAAAUGAAGAAUUGCUCGCUGGAAGAAUAAGUUGAAUAAUCUGCAUUUCCUCCUCCGAUGGAAAGAAGGGUAGUGAUUGUUAGGUUCUUUGUUUUCAUAGUGUGUGUGAAGUUGAAGAAUUGUUCCUCAUCAGAAGAUGACAAAGAAAGUUUGUAGGACGUUGGAUCGACAUAAGCGAAACCACAAAUAAGGUGAGUGAAGAGAGCACAUUAUUUAUAUCUAAAAUGGGGAAGCCAGGCCUGGUUCCCAAAUACUAGCUCUGAUUAAAGUUUUUGCUUUUGCAGGAAGCGAUUCUGAAAAUAUAAAAAUCUGGAGGACCUAAGUGACAAAUUUGGAUGCCAUUUUGGAAAGCCAGCUGCCUGAAACAUGCCCAGUCUGUAUGUGUUUUUAUACACACACACAGAAAUUAUCCUAUAUUGACCGAGAUUAGUUAUGGUCCUAAAUAAUAUAUGUUUUAAGCAACCCUUAACCCAUGAGUUAAAGUUUAUAAACAGUAUCAGAGUCAGGUUAUGGACAAAUGCGCUUAUAUUACCAGACUAAAAUAUCAGCGUGCAUUUGAUGGAAUGAUAGGAAAAAUAUCCCACCUUAGUUAAGAUUAGUUACUAAGUUAAUAAUAUAAGAUUAAGGCAAUCUUCCACUCAUAUAACGCAAGAGUAUGAAUCACAAUUUAAUAAAACUAGGUCAAUUCGAUUUUUUAUAAAGAUAUAUGAGCUACAACUUGAGGUCGCUCACGAGUGGGGACGAGUUAGAUUAAGGCAAUCUUCAACUCAUAUAAUGUUGAUCAUGGACCGAAUCAACAUAGGAAACAAAAGUCGAGGAAGUUGAAUCUCCUUGCCUUCAAGUUGCAUGGAUGGGAGUCAUACAACGAAAAGGUUGUCUUCGUUCAAUGACGAUCGGCUUGAAGUUCUUAAAUUAAGCUACGGCGUUUGCCUCCACUUAGCUUGACUUCUGAAGCUGGAGACUCUUCCUUUUGUAUUGGCUUCGUUGGUACUUAAAUUACCUCGGAGUCUCGGAUGUGUUUCUGAAGCCAUGUCAUUGUCUACGAGUAGAAUUUUUUUUUUUUUUUUUUUUUUUGGGGGGAAGAAAGAGGAAGUCUAUCGGAAAAGUAGUAAAAUGAUAUUUUUUGUAAAGAUAUAGUAGGAAAAUGAUAGGGAGCAAUACUUCUUGUAGUCAUUUGAUAUUUGUCAAAUUUUAAAGUAGUGAAAUGAUAAUAACCCAAAAAAAAAAACAAAACGUUUUUCAAUCAAAAACAAAAAUAAAGAAAUAAAUAGACAAUCCCAUGUAUAAAAAGCUAACCGGGAAUGGUGAAGACGACACUGACAUCCUCCGUUUCUCUAUUAAGCUACUUCAAGUGUUUAAGGUUUUUGAUAAUUAUAGAAAUUAAGAAAUAACAUGAAGAAGAAUGAUCAAUUAGGGGAAGUGAUUGAAGUUGAUGUGGGUUUGGACGGUGGAUGAUGAAAGCUGACUUUGUUUUGUUAUGUAAAAUCAACGGUGCCCAAAAGGCUGUUCUGACGCAGAUGCUUCACUUCCUUGCAUACUGCUGUAGAAAAAAAUGGUUUUUUUCUAUCUAAAGGUUAAUAGUUUAGUUUGGUGAAAAAGAAUUUUAAGUACAGUAAAAUUUUUAUAAAUUAAUAAUUUUCUAUCAUAUAAAAUUUAUUAAUUUAAAAGAAGUAUUAAUUAAUCUAUAUUAAUAAUUUAUCAAUUUAUAAAGUGUAUAUACAAUUCGAUAAACAUACAUUUUAAUCAAUUAAAAUUCAUUGUAUUUUACCAAUCUAAUAAAUUAAAAAUGAAUUAAUCUACUAAAUAUAAAUUAAAUUAAUAAAAAAAUUUAUAAUUCUUACAAUUUCAAAAUUCAACCCUUAAACUUCUAGAAGUGAUACGCAUAGCAUUACUCAAUUUAAAUUCAACCCUUAAAAUCAUGGCAAGAGAAUAGUGAAGAAAAAAGAAAAGAAAAGGAAAAAACAAACUCACAAACACUUAGUUAUCGACCUCUAUGGCCUAUGCCACUGGCCUGUAGAACUAACUCCCUCAGAAAUGAUUUCAAGUUCCUGUAAUUUUCUGUAUAAAAUGAGAGCAUUUUCCUCUUUAAAGCAGGGGCAGUAACAGUGUCACAAUAGAAAGCAUUCUGAUGGUAAGAUUAAGUAGUAUUGUGAUUUUAAUUGGGGGGAAAAUGUCCCAUACGCUUAUUUCCUUAUGUGAUUUAGAUUCAAGUCAAGACGACCCUCCAUUUUAGUAUAAAAGUCUAUACAAAUGUACGUUUUACUCAAUGUUUACGUAGAAACAAAUGAUUUGCUGAUUUAGUACCACUCUUGUUUACUGGGUGGGAUUUGGCUCCUCCAAAUUUGUAGCCAAUAUUUUACUUUGAUGAGAAAAUCAAAUAACGUUUCAACAAAUAAUUUUUCUUUUCUACGUACUUUCUUAAAACGUAUGGAGUGAGUAAAGUACAAAUUGAUUUUUUAGCCCUUUGACUCUUCCAUAUUCAAACUCAAAUUAGUGGUCUGUUAAAUAUUGCUACUUAAAAUCAUUCAGCCAAAUAUUGUAAAAACUAUAAUUUCACAAAGUCAAAGUUUCAUUGAUUAUUGAAUUGUAGAGUGUGCUAUCAUUUCCUAGCUAAAAAUUUGUUUAGUUCUAUUAAGUUUCAAUCAUUUUUUAUUUUAUUUAAUUAAUUAAAGUGAAUUUAUUAUGUAUAAAUGCUAUUUAUGUGAAAUUUUAAAAUCCAGUGCUAAAUUGAAUUGUACUAAAUUUUUAUAAUUUUUUGUCACACCUGCAUUUCUAACAGUUUAGUAUAAAUAUUGAGAGCAAAUAGUAUAUAGGAUUAAAAGAGAUUGAUUUCGAGUGCUACAAGAUUUUUAGGAUUGCAUGCGCAAGGGUUUAAAAACAAAGUGUGCAUUUAAUUACACUAAACGUAGGUGCAUUUUUAUGAUGAAAUAAAAACUGGUUGUAUAAAUGGCUCCAUAAUUAGUGUACUUAAUAUCCAUCUAGCUAUCACUUCCGAAAAUGAUAUCAGAAGCCGAACACAUUUCCAACUGUAUUUUAGAUAAUAGUUCAAUCCCAAUUUCGUCAACUUGUUUUGAGAAAGCAGGCUUCUUGGGAGAAUUUAUAUUUCGUCAACUUGUUUCGUCAAUUUGUGCAUAUAAAUGUCUAUCAUUUGGAUUCUCCUGGACACACAACAAAGCUAUAUCCAGACGUCUCAUUAAUUUACAAGUGAAAUUUGUAUAAUCUCGUGAUGAAUCCACAAACUCCAUAUAUAUUUUUUUUUUUACCACGAGGUAUCAUGGGGAGGGCCCCAACUGUGGGAGGCACCUUUAAGUCCGUACCACAACUCAGACUAGAAGUCCCCGCUCGAACCGAGAGGCACAGGUUCUCCCAACAAAGGCGACUUCCCUACGACUUGAACUGGGGAGCAAACCCAGUCAAGCCAUUUAAGGGGACUCCAUUGCCAGUGGAGCCAACACUUUGUUGGUUAAACUGGAUAUUUUAUCUUGCUACAAACUCCAUAUUUUCACAACUCAUAUGCCUGAAAUUAUCAAGUAUUAUCUUGCUACAUAUUUUAUACUACUUAGUUAAGUGCAUAUAUAUAUAUAUAUAGACACAUACACACACACACACUAAAGGUUACUAUAGCCAAAGAAAUUUACAUGCUCUAGAAGACUUAAAUUUCCAUCGAUGCCACAUAGGCACAUAACAUAAAAAGACUUUUCCCAGUUAUCAUUCGUAAAAGUAAGACUUCAAAACUAAAAAUGUUUGAUUCGGUAGAGUAAACAUCUCUAUGAGUGUAUUUAGGAGGAAUAUAACCUCUACAUUUGAAAAUAACCAACACUCACUACUACAAAAAUGACUUUUACUGACACUUUGUUUCUGACACUUUGAAAAAAGUGUCAGUAAUUACCUAACUAUGCACAAUUUUCCGCUUUUAACAAAUAAAUGUCACAAAUUAUUAAUACUAAUGUAUCAGUAAAUUAAAUAUUAGAGAUCACUGAUACUUCAGCAUCAGAGAUCUAAAAAGAAUCAUUAAAAUUUGUUUUGAUUUUAACUCGAACCUGGGAUUUCUAAAACUCAAAACUUUUACGUUUAGAUUGCAAACCACUGGACCCCAUAAAAUUGAGUUGGAAUUACAAUGUUAUAUAAAAUAUUAACAUAUAAAAAACCAAACCCUAAUUCCCCUUUUCCAUUGUGCAAUAGAGCCCAUGCCGCAGCUGCUGCGUAAUUUCCUUGCCUUUCUUGACUUCUUCUUCUCUAUCGUGAAAGAUGGAGAAUGACCAGGCCCAAACGCCCACGCCCACAGCCGCGCCCAACCCCCACGGCUGCGCCCACCCCCACGCCGUUGCCACUAUCACUUCCGUUCAAGUGGUUCGACACUGCAGGUACUAAAUUAAGAAUUUAAAACAUGUAAAACGAAAGUAAAACAUAUCCCAAACUUAGCAAUUGUCCCCAUCUCCCUGUCUUUUAUACACACAAAUCUCUAACCCAAACUCAAACCCAAAACUGUCUCUUGCCUUUCUCUUUCUCUUUCCUUUUUCUCUUCUCGAUCUCUUCCUUUUUUUUCUGUCCAUUCACAAACUCGUUCAUUUAACUUAAAUAGAUAAUAUAAAGCUAAAACCCUAAGUGAGGCUUUUAUUCCCUUUUUCCUUUUUUUUCCCAAAUUGAAAAACGGACCAAAACCGUAAUCGAGGCUUCUUUUAUCAAUUUUUUUUCUUUUUAUGGUCAAAUUUCACUUUUUUUUUGUUCAAUAUUCAAAACCCAUUUGCUUGAAUUUGAAUAAAAUUAUUGAGAAAUUAGUUAAUUUUCUUGCUAUGGAAGGGAUACCACACCUUAUACGUAGACCUGUGAAGGAGAUUUUCAAUGACUUUAAGGGCAAACAGGUUGCCUUGAUUAAGGCUUUAACUGCUGGUAAUGGCUUAAUAUUUUAUUUUCUUUGUCAAAUUAAUUAAUAAUUUUUUUUUAUUUUAGCUUAUCAUUAUUAGGGUUUUUUGUUAAUUUUAAUUUUCUGGGUUGUUGCAGAUGUUGAGAAAUUCUGCCAGUGGUGCAGUCUUGGUGGGAUUUCUUUUCCAUAUCUAUUUUUUGUUUAUUUAAUUGUAAUUUGAAUUUUUUUCUUUUUUUUCCUAUAUUUCUAUAUUAUAUAGAUUGAAUGGCUGUGUAUUUCAUAAUUAUUAAGUGUUAUUUAUUGCUCUGUUUCAUGUAAAGAUAGGCAAAUUAUGUUAUAGAAACCAACAUGUUUAUUUUUUUAUUUUUUUUAGUUGGAAGAUUUUUAAUAGAGACAAUGACUAUGAUAUGAAUUAACUAAGUUCAUGAUUUGUCUUUAAUUCAAGAAGAAAAUGCUUGUUUUUAGGUAGUUUUGCUUGUUGUAGCACUUGAAGACUUACAUUUUCUUUGUUCAUUUGCACGGUUAGUUUCGCUCUUAUUCAGAAAUUUCUGUGUUUCCUCACUUGCAUGGUCAUUAAUUCAUUCCAUGAUUUUUCUUCUGUAAACACACUUUUAUUUUCCUUUCACUAGUUUGAAGGAAUUUAUUUUUUUAAAAUAAAAAAUUCUAAAGAUUGAAAUGAAUUGAAAUUGUUGCUAUAAUGUACUUUCUUUGCUGCUGAAGUUCAAGGAAUGUCUAUUUAAAUGAACUAGAACUUGAAAAAUCUUGAAGUGUUGUUGUACCCAUAGACUUCAUUUUUUUUCCUGCACAUUACACUUAUUUUGUUCAUCUUCUUACCUUCAAUUUGUCGUAGAGGUUAACAAUGAUUGACGAGAAAUGGAGGUUUGCAUUUACUGCGGCUGAAUCUCAUGAACAAGAAGUUGGCAAACUGAGGUCUGUAUUUUUUCCUCAAAUUCAUAGUUGAAUUCAUAGUAAGCUCAAAGCAAUUGAUUGAGGGAGAAAAUAAAUUGAGUUUUAUUUAUUAGUAUAAUUUUUGUUAUUUAGUGCUUUACACUCUUCAUGACAACUUCUGCGAUCUUGUCCUAUUACCUUAAGGUACUACUGGAUAUUUGAGAAAAAAUUAAAAAUUAUUAAGAUUAUCUUUCUUUGAUGAUAGAAUUACAAUAUGUCUUCUCACUUAUUAUAGUUCAUCCAAUUUUAUUUUUGUUGCACAGUCUGUGGAAAUCAGAGUACCACAUUUAAGAGUUUUUAUAAAAUGUCUCCUUUACCUUUCCUAUUAUUUAAACUAAUUUCAUGUGUAUUUCUUUAGUUAAUGAUUGAUUUUCAAGUAGUUGAAGGAAAGUAACUUGUAGAACCUCCUUCUAAAAUUGGUCUGGAACCUUUGUGUGCAAUGGUUAGUGAAAUCAUAAUCCGUGGCUUGUGUUAAUAUGCAUCGAUUGUGUGAAAACUAUUGUUUACUAUUUUCUGUGGCUGGUUAUUAACAUGAUUCACAGAUAAACAACAAUAGACUCAUACCCAUAUGCUUGCUUGUUUUCAACAAGCAUUUUUUUUUUGUAGGUUUUUUUUUUGUGCGUCUCUCUUUGAAGAAUAAUAUGAUUAUCUUACACGAAAUGGGGAAAUUCCAUUAUCUUGCUGCAAGUUUUUUCCUAGUUCUAUAGUUCUACCGUUUUGUAUCACCUUGGAUGACAUGUCGAGUGAAUCCUGGAACAUCAUUUUAUCUUGUUUGUACCUAUAAUACGUUGUGUUCAAUGUUCUUGAAAUUUUUGGGCAUGGCUGCAAACAAAUUUAGCAGUUUUUAAUAGCCAACUAUAGAGUCAAUUUAAAAUUUGUCUAGGUGGUGAGUUUCUAUGGUUUUGUAAUUGGGGUGAAAGGUAGCAAAUACUAAUCUUGUCUAAAGAGCAUUUGUGUAAGAUUACUUGUGAGUAUAGUGGGGCAGCAUAUAUUAGUAUUUUUAUGAAAUAAGCAGAAAAAGGGAUCCCUUUCUAUUGUCAGCAAUAAAAAGAAUUUUCAAAAAUGUAAACACCAAGCGUUCUAGUUGUAUUGUUAUUUGCAAAGAUCUUUUCAAUGUAUUUGUAGAUCCCAACAUACCUUGAUGCAUGAUCAAUUAGUCUGAAGAAUGUUGAGGAUUAUGUCAUUUUGAGCUGUUUAUCAGGUAGUUUGAGGUUAGAUUUGUUUUUUGGAGUAUUAGCUUGGAAUCUGAGUGCUUGCCUAAUUUGGAGAUUGGUGUGUGAUACUUCAAUAGCCUUUUUUUGUGGACUCCCUUUUGACAUUUUGUAAUUAUUGUUCUUAUUAAUACUAAUUUCUCUGUUUCCUAUAAAAAAUAAAUAAAUAAUGAAGGAUAGGUUUUUAUAUGGUAAGGAAUGAAUAAAUAUUAUAAGCAUUUAUUGGAAAAUAAAACUAUGCAGCUUAUUUAGUUGUUUUCCUAUUUAGUGAUAAAUUAAAAUUUUUGGCUUAAUUAUAUUCGGAUAUAUAAACACCAAGUUUUCAGUGUUAAGAUGGAAAACCAACGUCUUUAAAAUUUAUGAAUUGUUAAUACUGAAUCUUUUUUCAGUUUCAGUUAAAAAACAAAAAGGCCCUUCUUUUUUCUAUCUUCAAAUUUUGUGUGAUAGAAGUAUACUGUUGGGCCUUUCUUAUCAACUUUAGCUUUUGGGAUUAUUGUUGGUUUAACUUUAGAAUUAUUUGACCCAGAGAUUUUAUGUUCCAUUAAAUAAUAACACUCAAUACACUGGAUUUAGUUCAUGUUUAUUAAAUUUGGAUUUUUAUGUGAGACGGUACAAGUAUUGGGGAUUAGUGGUCUCUCAACAUUAUGAUCGAAAACCAGCCCUCACUGCCAAUUUGUAUUUUAAGCCCAAUAUUCAGUCCUUGAUCACUAUCAAACUUCCAUAAUCAUUUCUUCUUCAUAUUCUUAUAAAUCAGCCUCAAACUCUAAAGAAAAACCUAAGCCAUUCUCUGUAAGGGGUAAGCGUCUGUUCUUGUUCGGAUGAAGGUGCCAAGUUUUAUUUUGCUCUUUAACGUUAACAAGUCAAUUCCCCAUGAUGUGUUAGGUGAUUUGUUUGUUUCAUGCUGUUUAUUUCCUCGUCUUUUUUUUCUUCUAUCUACUGUUCCUUUAUGAAUUUGCCUCUAGGCAUUUUUGCAGUUGCUUACUAUGAAAUACAAUGGGCUUAUGCUAUAUUUUGUAAAAAUAACUAUGUAAUUCAAUCUCCAAAUUAGUUAAUCUUCUUAGUUGGCUUUGUCUUUGACUGUUUUUUAUAUCAAUUAAUUUGUUUCGUUGUGUACAGGUUAAUUUCUAUUGUUGGAGCCAUGAGUCUGCUGAACACAUUUUUCCUAACAGAGGUUUGGGAUAUGGACUUGCCCAAUUUUUGUCUGUUUUGUUUCUAGGUUAUUAUGUAAAAAUUUUAUAAUGGUUUGCUUUGCUUUGGGUUAUGAUGUAAAAACUUUGUAGUGGUUUGCCUCAAAUGUUUCUGUUAUUAUGUCUUUGGUCUUAUCCUAAGAUACGCUAUAUUCUUAUUCCUCAAUUUUUACCCCUGGAUUGUUUAAUGAGUUUCUAAUUUUGGAUGUAUACUAAUAAAUCUCCAUUUAUCUUUCUUAAUCCUUAGGAUUUUUUUUUUAUUUUUUUUAUUCUUCUUAAGUUGAGUUGUGUAUAGAUCUGUAGGAAAAUCCACUCAAAUUCAAUUCUUAGCAGAUAAAUAUUCCUACCUAUUACAAUUAGCUUGCACUAAGAGAGCUAUGUAUUGUUUUUGCCCCAUUCUUUGUUAGUCUCUUUGAACACUGAAAUUGGCCUGAUUGUUUUUUCUCCCAAAAAUUCAAGAAUUAUUUUUUGUGGUAUACUAAUUGAUUUUAUGUACUUGUAGGUGGGAAAAGAAAAAUGAAGCCGCUUGUGGAUGUUCAAUGACAUUAUGUGCUUCUUUUUGUUGGUUAAUAUUUGUUGAAUCUUAACAUAGUACUUGGUUGUUAAGAGCUUGUCCAAGACUUAAUUUAGUAUUUAUAUUUUUCUUUUCCAAACAAUGAUGUAGUUGAAUGAUAUGAAUUUGAGUGAUGUAUUUGAGAUGUCUCUUAUGCAAUUGUGUUGCGAGAUUUUGUAUAUUUAAUAUAUUUUGAGUUUUCUUUCAGUUGUAAAACAAAUAGGAAAAUAUAAUUAAAAUCAAAGUAUACUAUUAACCAAAAGAAUCAUAACAUCACUAAAUACUGACACUAAAUGUUUAAAAUAACAGUAAUAAUUUUUUAUGUUAUUGAGUCAGUGUGCUCUUGAUACUGUAGUCUCAUAAAUUACUGACAUAUAAAUAGUAUCAUUAAAUACUAACGCUAUCGUGUCAUUAUUUUAGUGAUACCAUAAUGACAUGAAUUACUGACACAAAAAUCGCUGACACUAAAAAUUAGUGUCAGUGUGUUCUGUCUGGAGAAUUAUUGACACAAUUAAUAAGUGUCAGGAAAAGUAAUUACUGACACUAAUUUAGCGUCAGUAAAGCCCAUUUUUCUAGUAGUGACUAUUUCAGUAUGUCUCUCUCUCUCUCUCUCUCUCUCUCUCUCUCUCUCUCUCUCUCUCUCUCUCUCUCUCUCUCUCUAUAUAUAUAUAUAUAUAUAUAUAUAUAUAUAUAUAUAUAUAUAUAUAUAUAUAUAUAUAUAUAAUCAGCUUCAGGUCUGGAAUUUAAAUUUGUAAAGAGUCUACAAUAUCGUAAAUUGCAUUCAUCACUGUUUUACAAUGGUCUAAAUUUUAUUAUAAAUGACUGUCAAAAAAUUAAUACAUGGUUAUCAUUUAUGAUUAUAAUUAGAACAUUAAAAUUCAAGUCGACUCAUUUGUCUUUACAUUGAUGUAUUCUUUGCGAUUAUACUUAGAAUGUUAAACAAUUAAGUUGAAACGACCCGCCCCAAAUCUCCAGGACAAGUCUAUCUAAUCUCGCCUAACCGAAUUAAUAAUAGUUCUAAUAUCUAAGAAUUCUACCAAAACUUCGGCAGAGUCUCUUAUAUAAUUAUUACAUCCCCAAACUUGUAAUUUAUAAAAUUAACACUCCAAAAAAUAAUACAAUAUUUAAUCAACCUCUACAACCAACUUCCUCAAUUUAAACACCAGUAUCCUUCAAACAUAUAAUGUCAAGAAUACAAUAAUUUAUCCUUAAUCGCAAAUAAGUAAUAAAUUAUACAAUUCAAAAUAUCCCAACAAAGCAUCUAUGAUUUUUAACACCAUCAUGUGGCUAUAGUUUCAAAUCUAACUAUCGUUGUUGGAUCGACUGAUGUACCUGCAAAUCUCCUAGGGAGGGGGGGAAAUAUAAUAAAAAUAUGGUGAGUAUAAAACUCAGUGAGCUCAGUGAGUGGUGGGGGUGGGCAAAAUCGGGUUCGGGUCAACGCGAUCGGGUUUCGGGUUGUUCGGGUUAGACAAGAACCAAUUCGAACAUAACCCGAAUUAUUGACCCAACCCGAACCGACCCGAACUGGAUCGGGUUGGAUUUAAAACGGGUUGGAUUGAGUUCGGGUCAAUUCGGGUUAGUUCGGGUCAGCGUGUGUGUGUGCUGUGCAGCUCGUGUGUGUUCUGUUCUGUUCUGUCAUUCUGCAUUUCUGUGUGCGUGCUGUGCAAGUGUGCAGCUUGUGACUUGUGUUGUGUGUGUGCAACAGCGUAUGUGUGUGUGGGUGCGGCUGUGUGCUUUGCAGCUUCUAACAAGUUGUGUGUGUGUGUUGUGCAGCAGCCAAGCAGCGUGUGUGUGUGUGUGUGUACAGUGUUAGCUUAGCUUAGGUUUUUUUUUUUUUUUUGAGAACCCGAUCGGGUAUUCGGAUCGGGUCGGGUUUGACCCAAACCGAUCACAACCCGAUCGGGUUUGUAAAUUUCAAACCGCUCGGGUUUCGAUCCCGACCCGAUCCGACCCGAACCCGAAAUUUAUCGGGUCGGGUCGGGUCGGAUCGGGUAAAAUGCCCACCCCUAGUGAGUGGAUAGUAGUUUAGGAAAAAUAAUUUAUUUAAAAUGAUUUAAUCUUUUCUAAAUCAAUUUCAUCAAAAUAUCAUAAGAACUUACAUAAACUUAUUUAAUUCAAAUCAUGCACUGAAAUAACAAUAUUACAUAAAUCUGCAUAAAAUCAAUGAAAUCAUAAUACUUAUUGUUAGCCUAUAUGGCUAUAAAUAUUGAUUUUGAUGAUAACAAACCACAUGUGUUAGUUAAACAAAGAUUUAUAAAUUGUGCUUUUAUAAUAAGAAAAUGAUUUUAUGGAAUUAAAGUGUUUUGGACCAAAAUAAAAGUAUUUUAUAAUCUUUGAUAUUGUUUUGAAUUUCGGAUUUGGACCUAUUUAAAUAUUUUUGGGCCAUUCUAUAAUUUCACAUAGUUUGGGCGAUAUUCUAAUUUCAAAAAUUUUUGGGAUUGACAAAGUAUUAUUUAGAAAUUCUAAAAUUGGACCUAUUUGAACACUUUCAUAACAUUUUAGGCCAUAAUAUAAUUUUAUAAAGUUUUGGGGUCGAAUUAUAAUUUUGGAAAACAUUUCACUGUAGCAAGCAGAUAUCUGGAUCCUAACAAAUGGUAGACCGGAUUUGGGCAGAAAGCUUCUGGAACUUAAACGGCUAUCCGGAUUUCACAAGCGGUAUACCAGAUGUUCAAAAAUUUAAAUUUUGGCUAUAACGGUAACAUUACGCGGCUAACCGGAUGUCCAUAAAUGGUAAGUUAGUUAUCACCUAAAUGUGCAUAACGGCUAGUUUUUGAGUUCAAACUAUAUAAACCCAAAUCCAAUUCAUUUUCAAGCUCUUUUGCAAACAAAAUCAAAAAGCACACAACAUUCAUUGAGCUCUCAUUUCGCAAAUCAUAAAACCUUGAAUCAUAUUUUGUUCUUCAAUUUGUAUAUCUACUCUUUAAGAGAGUUUUUAUUGUAAUCUUCAAUUCCUCAUCUUAAUUGUGAGUGUUUAAGUGUGUGAGACACUUGAGUGAAGAGAUUGAGAGAUAAUCUCUUUGUUGUAAAGGUUCAUUGACACCUUAAAGUCAAUUGUAACCAUUUGAAGCCUUAGAAGGCUUGCAUAGUGAAAUCAUCAAGCUUGGAUUGCUUGGAGGCGUGGACGUAGCCGGGGAUUGUCGAACCACGUAAAAAUUCGUGUGUUUGUUUCUUUUCUCCCUUACUCAUUUGUUAUUGUACUUUUAUUGAACUUAUUGCUUUCGAAUUUAUUAAGGCGUUAGAUUGGAUUGUUGUGUGGUUUUGUUAGGAUAAUUUUUAAAAAUACCAAUUCACCCCCCUCUUGGGUUGCACACUUGUAUUUCACCUAUAAUAUCAAAUACUGAAUACCAAAAACUAUCACCAAACAAGUACCCGGGGGAAUAAUCUCAUCAUAUUCGGACCUCGACGGACGGGCAAUCAGGGAACCAUCAUACCCCGGAGCUACAACGGAUAGACGGGGAAAUGUCAUCUCAUAUCUCAUGUAUCUCAACAUCUGUAUCUUUGUAAUCAUCAUACUGCAUGCAUAAGCCUCCAAAAGGAAAAAGCGCCCAAACACACAGCCAAAAGCCUCUAUGUGUGUUCAGACGGGCCUCAAAGACCUCUCAUCUCAUAUCAUCUGUAUCAUUGUGUUCAUCUUAUAUUAUCUGUAUCUCUGUGUCUUAAGGGGAAUGAUAUUGUCCAAUGAUUUUCCAAACAACCUUUUAUAAACAUGUACAUAAACAUAUAAUCACAUCUGAAAUCUCAUUUCCUUUUAUUCAACAUAUCUCAAAUCCACUCAAUUCUAAUAUCAUGCAUUUACUCAAAAAAAAAAUGAUAAUAGAAUCAUUAAUCAAACUCAUUUUCAAUACUAAUAAAUAUCAGCACGUAAAAUAAAAAUCAAUUUUCUAGAAAAUCAUUAAAUCGAAGCAUCAAAUACUUAUCAUCAAAACAUGUUGUACUGUAUAGUAAAAUCAUAGUAUACUAUGAAAAUAGGUUUUGUAUAUUCCACUCACAGUGACAAUGUCCAGACUCGGGAUCACCAACGUCCGCAGGUUAAUUCUCGCUCGCGGGUCCUCCUAAUUACAUAAACGACAUAAUUAUUAUCCAUAUCAUGAAAUACGACUAACAGUACGAAAUAAAGCUCAAAACCAAACUCCCGGAUACAUAAAAUUUCAAAAUUACCCUUAUGUCCAAAAAUUACCCAAAUGCCCCUGACACCGAAAUUUACCAAAUUACCAUCAGAAUCAUAAUUUAUCGAAUCAUCCUCAAUAUCUUAAAUUACCAAAUUGUCCUUAAUUCGGAUAACAAAAUUAAUCACAAGUUUUGAAUUUACAAAAUUACCUUCGAAGUACAAAAUUACCAAAAUGUCCUUAAUAACUUAAAUUACCGAAUUACCCUCGAAAUCUCAAAUUACUUCUCUGUCCUAAUCACAAAUUACCAAAUUAUCCACCAUUUUCAUAAAUUACAAAUUUACCCCAAAGUUUUAUGAAAUUACCGAAUUACCCUUGCCGGUCAACGGUGACCUGACUUCAGUCAAUGAUGACGGGAAGCUCAGGUCUAAUAGUUCAGACCUCGGUGAAUCCAACGAUGCUGGCGGUGACCUCCCACGCGCGGCGAUGGUGGCAGAUCGAAGCUCCAAAAUUCGUGAGUUUCCCGGUGUUCGUUCGCGGCCAAGACAGCAUCCCCGGUGAUCGUGGUCAGUUGGAAAGUGAUAAGUGUGAGUUGAGAAACAAGAUCCAGGCAGUGGCGUGGCUAAAAAUCCGACGGGAUCGACGGCGACAGAAACGGGUUGAGUCGCGGCUUUUCGAGCUUCAAACGGCGGCGUUUCGGUCGGCUUUUCUUUGAUUUGUUAUUUUGAGUUGUAUGAAAUAUAGCUUUACUUAUGUUUUUUUUUAUCAUUAAUAGGAAUUUUCUUGUUAAAACUAUAUGAAUUGAUUGAAACUUCAAAUUCAUACUACAACCAUGAUGAUUUAAUAAAACAUUCAAACUAAAUCCACAUAUUCCAUGAGUAAGAACCCUGAGAGCACAUUUAUUCAAGUUUAUGCUUUAAGUAAAAUAAAAGUAGAAAUGAGAAUUUUAAAGAAGAAAUUUAGUUAUAAAUAAUUGUCAAAUAAUUAAUUGUUCAGCAUUUAUUUUAUAGGUCCCACUGUUGGGACUCCAUGUGAUCUGCUAACUGGCAGGCCUUUUGUGGUUAGGCGAACCACAGUAUGCCUGCCCCAUAUAAGUUCCUCUCUUCUCAUAGAUAUAACUAGUGCUAUGUCAUGUCCAACAAGGGCUCUUCGAAACUUUUUAUGUGAAUUUUAAACAUUACCCCAUUACGCUUUUGAAACACCAAAACUACCUCAAAUUUUAAAAAUAUAAAAAAAAAUACAUAUUAAAAGAAUGUUUUAUGUCUUUAGCUUAACAGUUAGCACACGUAUUGUACUCUUGACAUUUUUCUUCUGUAAAUCUUCACUUCUUUUUUCUUUGAUUCUUCACACUCCACUGCUCUUUUAUCUCUAAAAAAUUAAAUUGUCCGUAGAAGCUUACUAUUUAAUUUACUGAUCUAAUUAUUUAGCUCUAAAUAUUUAGAUACGUUUUCUUAAUUAAUUAUCUCUUCUUUAAUUUUUUUGGUAAUUUCUCUUAGAUGAAAGAAUUAAGGUUAUGUCCUAGGAAAAUAUUAACUCUCAUAUUAUAGUGUUGAUAAUGAGGUUAUCCUUGAAUUUUUAACACAUGAAAACACAUCGAGGUAACUAUAAAUUCAUUGAAGGAAAUAUUUUAAUAAAUUUAGAUUUUGGUACAUAUUAUUUGUUGAAUUUUUUUUCUUUCCAAAUUGAACGUAGCCCUUAUGAUAUUCAGUUCGUGAUGGUGCCACUAAAUGUAAAGUGUCGAACUAGAUCAUAUUUCUCCCUUAUGCAAACUCCAUCGUUUAUUUAUAUUUCAAUUUUGUGGCCUAUUGUCGAGUUUUCUAGUUUCACAGAGGGCAUCUUGGAUUUCUCUACGUGGUCCAUAGUCUCUAGUCCAAAUGAAGAAAUCGAAUUCACCAUGUACAUUAGUGUUUUUUUUCUUUUUUCUUUUUGGGCGGGGGGGGAAUUUUUUUAUUGGCACAGGAAGAAAGCUCUUCGGCACUACUCGGAAGAAGAAUAUGAGCAACACAUGGUCCAAUUCGCAUUGUAUGGAAGUAAAACCGAAGCAUUAGACCAAAAGCAAACCUUAUUCAUAUUUUUAGUUACUGAUAACAAUUUCUUUCCCCUCUUAUUAUCAUCUUAAUUAAGAAAUAUAGUAAUUCGUUAACUUUUUGGGAAAUUAAAAAGGAUGGCAAUAUACAAUAUUCUUGUGUUGAUGACCUUAAAAGCUAAUUCCCUUGAAACAGGAAAACUGGUAUCGUUUUUCAAAGCACAUAAAUGAUAUAUCCCAGCUUUCAAUGUGAUCGAAAGAUUUCAUAGCCACACUCGAAAUUAAUAAAUGAUCCCUAAGAAUUCGUUAACUUCAAGAGUUUAUAGAACAUUAAUUGAUCCAAAUCCAAUACAAACUGCUUACUAGUACAGCUGCAAGAGAGCCAUUUUUUUUCAGUAGGCAUAUUAAACAACUGCAGCAGUCACUAGAAAGCUAGUAUAGACCAAUUGUUCAUCUACCAACCAAUUGUGAAAUUGUUACAUCAUUACUUGAACAUAUUUCCCAUCCAAUCGUGGCUUUAUUUUGUUCGUCUUCAUAAGCUUUGUUUAAGAAAUCGGAGUCCAUUCGAUGAGUCUAUCAGCAUUCUUUAACUAAUUAUUAGAUUAAAUGUAUAAAUUUAAAACUAGUAAAAGUUUAGACUAUGAAAGAACCUUGAUUCAUUCAAGAAAUAAUUAAAAUUUUAAUCCUUUUCAAACUGGUUAAUAUUAACCUUAUCAUUAUGCGAAAACACAAUUUAAAAGAAAAAUAAAAUAAAAUAAAAAUCUCACAAAGUUGGUGUGUGGAAUAGUCAAUACGUUGUCCUUGAUUUUUUAUUUUUUAUUUUUUACAAACCCUUAAAGAGUCUAUAGAUGUAGUUAGUGAUAUUACAUUACAUUAAUUGAUCCAAAUCCAAUACAAACUGCUUACCAGUACAGCCUCAAGAGAGUCAUUUAUUAUUCAAUUGGCAAAUUAAACAACUGCAGUAGUCACUAGCAGCUUGCCAAGAGCUAUAGCGUAGAUCAAUUGUUCAUCUACCAACCAAUUGUGAAAUUGUUACAUCAUUACUUGAACAAAUUUCCAAUCCAAUCGUGGCUUUCCUUUGUUCAUCUUCGUAAGCUUGCUUUGAGAAAGUUGCAGGCUUCUUUGGAGUCAUUAUAUCAGCCGUGCUCUCAUUUUCGAGCAUCGAAGAAACUUCCAGCAUAGAAGGUCUAUCGUCUGGGUUCUCCUGAACACACAACAGAGCUAUUUGCAGACAUGUUAGCAAUUUCCACGAGGAAUGCGUAUCAUCUAGUGAUGUAUCCAUUAACCCCAUGCCUUUCCCAUCUUUCCACAGCUCAUAAGCCUGUAAAUAUCGAAUAUGUUAUUGAGUUACAUUCAAUUAAUUAGCACUAUAAAGUUUUGAUCCAGUGUGCAUUAUAAAGGGGGUUAUGAAGAAACUUACAUACUGUACAAGGCUUAAAUUUUCAUUCUGGCCAGAUUGAACGAACAAUCUUCUUCCACUUAUAAUUUGCAAAAGUAAAACCCCAAAACUGUAGACAUCAGAUUUGGUGGAGUAGAUGCCUCUCGUCACAUACUCAGGAGGGAUAUAGCCACUGUUGUACCAAGUACUUACAAAUAUCAGUUAAAUUGUUUGACCUAAAAGGUUAAGCUGAUUGGUAAAGGCUCAACAAUAGUAUUAAAGACAAGUCGAAAAAUAGACGUAUAUACACUUACUGUGUUCCAACAAUUCGACUGGUGUUUGCUUCAAGGUCGUCUUUCACAAAAAUUCUAGCUAAGCCAAAAUCUGAUAUUUUAGGCUUCAUAUUUUCAUCCAAUAAAACAUUACUAGCUUUCAAGUCUCGAUGAAUAAUUGUUAAUCUAGAAUAUUCUUGAAGAUAAAGAAGCCCUUGAGUUAUUCCUUGAAUGAUAUGAAUGCGUUUUUUCCAAUCCAAAAUAAACCUUCGGAUGGGAUCUACAUCAAAUAUAAGUAUAGUUGGACGGUCAGUAGCACUAGCAUUUGGAGAUGAGAAAGCAAAUGGAGGCACAUAAAUUAAGAAUUAAGCAGAAGCACAUACCAAAAAGGAAAUAGUCUAAGCUUUGUUUUGGCAUGUACUCGUAGAUCAGCAUUUGUUCUUCUCUGUCAAUGCAAAAACCUAAAACCUUAAUAAGAUUUACAUGUUGGAGUUUUGCAGUAAGCAUAACCUCAUUCUUGAACUCCUCAAAUCCUUGUUUGGAUGUCUUUGAGAGUUUCUUCACUGCUAUUACCUGUCCAUCAGGUAAUACACCCUGCAAACACCCCCAAAACAUUAAAAAGGAAAAAAAAAUGCAAUGUUCAUAUACAUAUGUGUGUGUGUGUAUUUCGCUAAUUAAUUAAUAAGAUGAGAGAUAGCCAAGCUAUCGAUAUAUAACCUUGUAAACAGGGCCAUAUCCACCCUCCCCGAGCUUAUUUUCAAUUGAAAAUCUAUCCGUGGCCACCUCAAUAUCAGCCAAGCUAUAUUCUCUAAGAUCAGGAUCAUUGCUGUUAAAAUCUCCAGCAUGUGCUUGACUGUUUGCUCCGUCCUUUGAUGACUUGGCUGAGUCAAUUACUAUUCCAAUUAAUAUCAACCAAGGAAAAAAAAGAAAAAGAAAAAGAAAAAAGCUAAUUUAAGUAAAUUGCCCACUUCUUCAGCUGUGCUAAAUAGAAUAGAAGUAAAAAUAAUCCUAAACCCCUGUAGAAGAAGUUACCUUUUAAUUUGAGGUUUUUCAUCCAGCAGUAGUAAUACAGCCAAAAACCUAGUAGAAGAAUACAAGCUGCAGUGGUAGUCAAAACAACUACCCAUAACAGUCGCUUAUUUUGACCACUCUUGUCAUCCUCUUCAGCUGAAAAGUCAAUCACUUUGCGUUGGUUAACCAUUGAUGCUGAAAUAAAGAUCUUAAUUCAAGUCAUUAUCCAGAAAAGUGAUCAACGGAUUGCAGUGAGUGCGGAAUUCCAUUUGCUUACCUGCAGCUUGAGAAAGCAUCCAAUCAUGAUCAUAGGAAACUAGCCACACAUGGUAUCCGCGUAGCUUCUUCUCCUUGGCAUAUGCAACCUUCACUCUAAUGGCCUCCACAUCAUCAAAACCAAACCAAAUCUUCCCAAUCGAGCAGUAGUUCACCACAUAAGUUGAAUUGUAAAUAACUUGGACAUUAGGACCAUAUCUCUUGAUGUGAUUCUUGAUUUCCCUAUAACUCACAAGACCAUCUUCACUCAAAGCUGGUCCCGUUGCUGCUGCACCAAUACCAUUGUCCUCAGGUUUCACAAGCGUCCAUGCAUAGCCAUAGAAAGGCAAACAUAAAACCAAUUUAUCAGCCGAUAACCCUUCGUCAAUCCAUUCCGUGAUUCCGUAUUCAGUAUUAGAGACACUAUUUGGAUCAUACAGAGCCGCAUGAGCACCAGUAAA